GAUGAACGCUGGCGGCGUGCCUAAUACAUGCAAGUCGAGCGAACAGACGAGGAGCUUGCUCCUCUGACGUUAGCGGCGGACGGGUGAGUAACACGUGGAUAACCUACCUAUAAGACUGGGAUAACUUCGGGAAACCGGAGCUAAUACCGGAGAAUAUAUUGAACCGCAUGGUUCAAUAGUGAAAGACGGUUUUGCUGUCACUUAUAGAUGGAUCCGCGCCGCAUUAGCUAGUUGGUAAGGUAACGGCUUACCAAGGCAACGAUGCGUAGCCGACCUGAGAGGGUGAUCGGCCACACGGGAACGGAGACACGGUCCAGACUCCUACGGGAGGCAGCAGUAGGGAAUCUUCCGCAAUGGGCGAAAGCCUGACGGAGCAACGCCGCGUGAGUGAUGAAGGUCUUCGGAUCGUAAAACUCUGUUAUUAGGGAAGAACAAAUGUGUAAGUAACUAUGCACGUCUUGACGGUACCUAAUCAGAAAGCCACGGCUAACUACGUG
rnacentral:rRNA from 1 species